GACGUAGGGCGCGAGCGUUGUCCGGAUUUAUUGGGCGUAAAGAGCUCGUAGGUGGUUUGUCGCGUUGUUCGUGAAAACUCACAACUCAAUUGUGGGCGUGCGGGCGAUACGGGCAGACUGGAGUACUGCAGGGGAGACUGGAAUUCCUGGUGUAGCAGUGAAAUGCGUAGAUAUCAGGAGGAACACCGAUGGCGAAGGCAGGUCUCUGGGCUGAUACUGACGCUCAUGCACGAAAGCGUGGGGAGCAAACAGG
rnacentral:rRNA from 1 species